rnacentral:rRNA from 1 species
CACGCAGUAAACGAUGUUCACUCGCUGUUUGCGAUAUACUGUAAGCGGCUUAGUUAAAGCAUUAAGUGAACCACCUGGGGAGUACGAUCGCAAGGUUGAAACUCAAAGGAAUUGACGGGG